GGCAGUGGUAGCUUAGUGGGUAAGGCUCUGGGUUAUUGAUAGGAAGGUUGGGGGUUCAAGCCCCAGCACUGCCA